rnacentral:ncRNA from 1 species
ACCAUUCUUUUCUUAGGGUUGUAUUACUAUCCAAUGAACGUCUAGUGAGGACAGUACUGCUAAUGCCUUAAAAAAAAAAUCUAAUCAAACAAAGGGGACAUCUGUAAUACUUUCAACA